rnacentral:rRNA from 1 species
UACGGGGGGGGCAAGCGUUGUUCGGAAUUACUGGGCGUAAAGGGCGCGUAGGCGGCGUGACAAGUCACUUGUGAAAUCUCCGGGCUUAACUCGGAAAGGUCAAGUGAUACUGUCGUGCUAGAGUACAGAAGGGGCAACUGGAAUUCUCGGUGUAGCGGUGAAAUGCGUAGAUAUCGAGAGGAACACCUGCGGCGAAGGCGGGUUGCUGGGCUGAUACUGACGCUGAGGCGCGAAAGCCAGGGGAGCGAACGGG